GACGAACGCUGGCGGCGUGCUUAACACAUGCAAGUCGAACGGAAAGGCCCUGCUUUUGUGGGGUGCUCGAGUGGCGAAAGGGGGAGUAACACGUGAGUAACCUGCCCUUGACUUUGGGAUAACUCCAGGAAACUGGGGCUAAUACCGGAUAGGAGCUCCUGCUGCAUGGUGGGGGUUGGAAAGUUUCGGCGGUUGGGGAUGGACUCGCGGCUUAUCAGCUUGUUGGUGGGGUAGUGGCUUACCAAGGCUUUGACGGGUAGCCGGACUGAGAGGGUGACCGGCCACAUUGGGCCUGAGGUACGGCCCAGACUCCUACGUGAGGCAUCAGUGGGGAAUAGUGCACAAUGGGCGGCAGCCUGAUGCAGCGACUUCGCGUGCUGGAUGACGGCCUUCGGGUUGUAACCCGCUUUCGCCUGUGACGAAGCGUGAGUGACGGUAAUGGGUAAAGAAGCACCGGCUAACUACGUG
rnacentral:rRNA from 1 species